rnacentral:misc_RNA from 1 species
GUAGGUGAACCUGCGGAAGGAUCAUUGCCACACACGAUCCAAGAUCGACACUUUUUGUGAACUGUUAAAAAACGAUGUUAAAUGCUUGAUGAUAUUAGAGACUUCGGUCGAUAAUCUUAUUAAAGUGUUAAACAUUAUUAUUAAACACCAAAACUAAACAAACAUGAUUUAUACAUUGGAACUGAAAAUGUUAUAGCAAGUUCGUCUUACUAUAACGCUAGAUUAUUAAUUGUAAAACAACUUUUAACAAUGGAUAUCUAGGUUCUU